AGGACGAACGCUGGCGGCGUGCUUAACACAUGUAAGUCGAGCGGAAAGGCCCUUCGGGGUACUCGAGCGGCGAACGGGUGAGUAACACGUGAGUAAUCUGCCCUUAGCUCUGGGAUAGCUCCGGGAAACCGGGAUUAAUACCAGAUACGACCACUCUAGACAUCUUCUGUGGUGGAAAGAAUUUCGGCUGGGGAUGAACUCGCGGCCUAUCAGCUUGUUGGUGAGGUAACGGCUCACCAAGGCAACGAUGGGUAGCUGGUCUGAGAGGACGAUCAGCCACACUGGGACUGAGACACGGCCCAGACUCCUACGGGAGGCAGCAGUGGGGAAUCUUGCGCAAUGCGCGAAAGCGUGACGCAGCAACGCCGCGUGGGGAAGACGGCCUCGGGUUGUAACCCUUUCAGUUGGACGAAGCUCCGCCGGUGAAUAGCCGGCUGGAGUGACGGUACCUUCAGAAGAAGCCCGGCUAACUACGUGCCAGCAGCCGCGGUAA
rnacentral:rRNA from 1 species